ensembl:misc_RNA Metazoa_SRP Metazoan signal recognition particle RNA
GCCAGGUAUGGUGGUGCCUGCCUGUAGUUCCAGCUACUUGGGAGGCUGAGGCAGGAGGAUCGCUUGAGCCCAGGAGUUCAAGGCUGCAGUGAGCUAUGAUUGCACCACUGUAUUCUAGCCUGCACAAUAGAGUGAGACCCUGUAUCUU